AAGACCCGUGCCUUUAGUUGCCAGCAAGAAGUUACGACUUCGUUGGGAACACUAAAGGGACUGCCGUCGAUAAGACGGAUGAAGGAGCGGGCCACGGCAGGUCAGUAUGCCCCGAAUCCCCCGGGCCACACGCGGGCUGCAAUGGUAUGGACAAUGGGCUGCAACUCCGAGAGGAGAAGCCAAUCCCGAAACCAUAUCUCAGUUGGGAUUGUCGGCUGCAACCCGCCGACAUGAACGUGGAAUCCCUAGUAACCGUGUGUCAUCAUCGCACGGUGAAUAC
rnacentral:rRNA from 1 species